AACAAACGCUGGCGGCGUGCCUAAUACAUGCAAGUCGAACGGGGAAGGCUUUCGGGUGAGUACUAGUGGCGCACGGGUGAGGAACGCGUGGAUAAUCUGCCUUAGAGUGGGGGAUAACUAGUCGAAAGAUUAGCUAAUACCGCAUAAGACCACGAGAGCUGCGGCUUUUGAGGUCAAAGGUUUUUCGCUCUAAGAUGAGUCCGCGUAAGAUUAGCUAGUUGGUGAGGUAACGGCUCACCAAGGCGACGAUCUUUAACUGGUCUGAGAGGAUGAUCAGUCACACUGGAACUGAGACACGGUCCAGACUCCUACGGGAGGCAGCAGUAGGGAAUAUUGCACAAUGGAGGAAACUCUGAUGCAGCGACGCCGCGUGAGUGAUGAAGGCCUUCGGGUCGUAAAGCUCUGUCGCAGGGGAAUAACACAAUGAAGGUACCCUGUAAGAAAGGAUCGGCUAACUUCGUG
rnacentral:rRNA from 1 species